AUACAGAGGGUGCAAGCGUUAAUCGGAAUUACUGGGCGUAAAGCGCACGUAGGUGGUUCAUUAAGUCAGAUGUGAAAGCCCCGGGCUCAACCUGGGAACUGCAUUUGAAACUGGUGAGCUAGAGUAUGGUAGAGGUAAGUGGAAUUCCAGGUGUAGCGGUGAAAUGCGUAGAUAUCUGGAGGAACAUCAGUGGCGAAGGCGACUUACUGGACCAAUACUGACACUGAGGCGCGAAAGCGUGGGGAGCAAACAGGAUUAGAUACCCUAGUAGUCC
rnacentral:rRNA from 1 species